rnacentral:lncRNA from 1 species
AAAAAUAAAUAGCAAACUAUGAGGCAGCCGCAGUUCAAAUUUGACCCGCUUCCAACUGAAACGGCGGAAAUUUGUCUUUUUCACCAGAGGUGGAUUAAAACUUUUUACACCCAACCAUUUGGUCAAUUGUGCAUUAAAUAUGGCCUAGUAUUUUAUAAAAAUGAUUUGGUCCAAUUUUGCAACAAUUAUUUGGUAGGUUCUUCACAAAAAAAUCAUUUGGGGCACUCGAAAAAUGGAAAAUGUUUUUUUCGUCCAAAGAAAAUGAAAGUUUCCUUAGGCAACAUUGCUUGCCAUUCCAAUAUGCACCCUUGUGCACAAUAUAAGAUCAUUUGAACGAACUAUGCCAUGAAUGUGGCCAUAAGAUUGAUCAUUUGACUUGGAAGCCAUGAAUCUUCACACAUGAUAGCUCAUUUCUGAGAACACUUUUUUAAAAGAAUUGCCGUAUUACAAGUUUAUUAUUUUUCCUGGUAACUUGGUCACAUAUAAUGACACAAUGCGAAGGUUUUCUAAUUUGUUUUAUUUUUUUGAAUUUUUUAUGCCCGUUUCAAAAUGCGGUCAAAAUGGCGGGAAUGACCGUUCCAAGCUAGUGGUUGAAUCUUGGAAUUUUUUUGGUGUUGCUCUGAUUAAAUAGAUACUUUUGUACCUAGAAAUGAUUUUUUGAAAAAAUGAAUAGCAAACUAUUAGGCAGCCGCAGUUCAAAUUUGACCCGCUUCCAACUUAAAUGGCGGAAAUUUGUCUUUUUCACCAGAGGUGGAUCAAAACUUUUUACACCCAACCAUUUGGUUAAUUGUGCAUUAAAUAUGACCUAGUAUUUUAUAAAAAUGAUUUGGUCCAAUUUUGCAACAAUUAUUUGGUAGGUUCUUCACAAAAAACCUCAUUUGGGGCACUCAAAAAAUGGAAAAUGUUUUUUCGUCCAAAGAAAAUGUAAAUUUCCUUAGGCAACAUUGUUUGCCAUUCCAAUAUGCACCCUUGUGCACAAUAUGAGAUCAUUUGAACAAACUAUGCCAUGAAUGCGGCCAUAAGAUUGAUCAUUUGACUUGGAAGCCAUGAAUCUUCACACAUGAUAGCUCAUUUCUGAGAACACUUUUUUAAAAGAAUUGCCGUAUUACAAGUUUAUUAUUUUUCCUGGUAACUUGGUCACAUAUAAUGACACAAUGCGAAGGUUUUCUAAUUUGUUUUAUUUUUUUGAAUUUUUUAUGCCCGUUUCAAAAUGCGGUCAAAACGGCGGGAAUGACCGUUCCAAGCUAGUGGUUGAAUCUUGGAAUUUUUUUGGUGUUGCUCCGAUUAAAUAGAUACUUUUGUACCUAGAAAUGAUUUUUUGAAAAAAUGAAUAGCAAACUAUUAGGCAGCCGCAGUUCAAAUUUGACCCGCUUCCAACUUAAAUGGCGGAAAUUUGUCUUUUUCACCAGAGGUGGAUCAAAACUUUUUACACCCAACCAUUUGGUUAAUUGUGCAUUAAAUAUGACCUAGUAUUUUAUAAAAAUGAUUUGGUCCAAUUUUGCAACAAUUAUUUGGUAGGUUCUUCACAAAAAACCUCAUUUGGGGCACUCAAAAAAUGGAAAAUGUUUUUUCGUCCAAAGAAAAUGUAAAUUUCCUUAGGCAACAUUGUUUGCCAUUCCAAUAUGCACCCUUGUGCACAAUAUGAGAUCAUUUGAACAAACUAUGCCAUGAAUGCGGCCAUAAGAUUGAUCAUUUGACUUGGAAGCCAUGAAUCUUCACACAUGAUAGCUCAUUUCUGAGAACACUUUUUUAAAAGAAUUUCCGUAUUACAAGUUUAUUAUUUUUCCUGGUAACUUGGUCACAUAUAAUGACACAUUGCGAAGGUUUUGGAAAUUUUUGAUUUUUUUUAAUUUUUUUAUGCCCGUUUCAAAAUGCGGUCAAAACGGCGGGAAUGACCGUUCCUAGCUAGUGGUUGAAUCUUGGAAUUUUUUUGGUGUUUCUCUGAUUAAAUAGAUACUUUUGUACCUAGAGAUGAUUUUUGGAAAAAAAUAAAUAGCAAACUAUGAGGGAGUCGCAGUUCAAAUUUGACCCGCUUCCAGCUGAAACGGCAGAAAUUUGUCUUUUUCACCAGCGGUGGAUGAAAACUUUUUACACCCAACCAUUUGGUCAAUUGUGCAUUAAAUAUGGCCUAGUAUUUUAUAAAAAUGAUUUGGUCCAAUUUUGCAACAAUUAUUUGGUAGGUUCUUCACAAAAAAACCUCAUUUGGGGCACUCGAAAAAUGGAAAAUGUUGUUUUCGUCCAAAGAAAAUGAAAGUUUCCUUAGGCAACAUUGUUUGCCAUUCCAAUAUGCACCAUUAUGCACAAUACGAGAUCAUUUGAACAAACUAUGCCAUGAAUGUGGCCAUAAGAUUGAUCAUUUGACUUGGAAGCCAUUAAUCUUCACACAUGAUAGCUCAUUUCUGAGAACACUUUUUUUAAAAGAAUUGACGUAUUACAAGUUUAUUGUUUUUCCUGGUAACUUGGUCACAUAUAAUGACACAAUGCAAAUGUUUUCCAAUUUUUUGAUUUUUUUUUUGAAUUUUUUAUGCACGUUUCAAAAUGCGGUCAAAACGGCGGGAAUGACCGUUCCUAGCUAGUGGUUGAAUCUUGGAAUUUUUUUGGUGUUUCUCUGAUCAAAUAGAUACUUUUCUACCUGGAAAUGAUUUUUGGAAAAAAUAAAUAGCAAACUAUGAGGCAGCCGCAGUUCAAAUUUGACCCGCUUCCAACUAAAAUGGCGGAAAUUUGUCUUUUUGACCAGAGGUGGAUUAAAACUUUUUACACCCAACCAUUUGGUCAAUUGUGCAUUAAAUAUGGCCUAGUAUUUUAUAAAAAUGAUUUGGUCCAAUUUUGCAACAAUUAUUUGGUAGGUUCUUCACAAAAAAAUUCAUUUGGGGCACUUGAAAAUGGAAAAUGUUUUUUUCGUCCAAAGAAAAUGAAAGUUUCCUUAGGCAACAUUGUUUGCCAUUCCAAUAUGCACCCUUGUGCACAAUAUAAGAUCAUUUGAAUAAACUAUGCCAUGCAUGUGGCCAUAAGAUUGAUCAUUUGACAUGGAAGCCAUGAAUCUUCACACAUGAUAGCUCAUUUCUGAGAACACUUUUUUAAAAGAAUUGCCAUAUUACAAGUUAUUAUUUUUCCUGGUAACUUGGUCACAUAUAAUGACACAAUGCAAAGGUUUUCCAAUUUUUUUAUUUUUGUGAAUUUUUUAUGCUCGUUUCAAAAUGCGGUCAAAACGGCGGGAAUGACCGUUCCAAGCUAGUGGUUGAAUCUUGGAAUUUUUUUGGUGUUUCUCUGAUUAAAUAGAUACUUUUGUACCUAUAAAUGAUUUUUGGAAAAAAUAAAUAGCAAACUAUUAGGCAGCCGCAGUUCAAAUUUGACCCGCUUCCAACUGAAAUGGCGGAAAUUUGUCUUUUUCACCAGAGGUGGUUCAAAACUUUUUACACCCAACCAUUUGGUUAAUUGUGCAUUAAAUAUGGCCUAGUAUUUUAUAAAAAUGAUUUGGUCCAAUUUUGCAACAAUUAUUUGGUAGGUUCUUCACAAAAACCUCAUUUGGGGCACUCAAAAAAUGGAAAAUGUUUUUUUCGUCCAAAGAAAAUGAAAAUUUCCUUAGGCAACAUUGUUUGCCAUUCCAAUAUGCAACCUUGUGCACAAUAUGAGAUCAUUUGAACAAAGUAUGCCAUGAAUGUGGCCAUAAGAUUGAUCAUUUGACUUGGAAGCCAUGAAUCUUCACACAUGAUAGCUCAUUUCUGAGAACACUUUUUUAAAAGAAUUUUCGUAUUACAAGUUUAUUAUUUUUCCUGGUAACUUGGUCACAUAUAAUGACACAUUGUGAAUGUUUUGGAAAUUUUUGAUUAUUUUUGAAUUUUUUAUGCCCGUUUCAAAAUGCGGUCAAAACGGUGGGAAUGACCGUUCCUAGCUAGUGGUUAAAUCUUGGAAGUUUUUUUUGGUGUUUCUCUGAUUAAAUAGAUACUUUUGUACCUAGAAAUGAUUUUUGGAAAAUAAAUAAAUAGCAAACUAUGAGGCAGUCGCAGAUCAAAUUUGACCCGCUUCCAGCUGAAACGGCGGAAAUUUGUCUUUUUCACCAGCGGUGGAUGAAAACUUUUUACACCCAACCAUUUGGUCAAUUGUGCAUUAAAUAUGGCCUAGUAUUUUAUAAAAAUGAUUUGGUCCAAUUUUGCAACAAUUAUUUGGUAGGUUCUUCACAAAAAAAUUCAUUUGGGGCACUUGAAAAUGGAAAAUGUUUUUUUCGUCCAAAGAAAAUGAAAGUUUCCUUAGGCAACAUUGUUUGCCAUUCCAAUAUGCACCCUUGUGCACAAUAUAAGAUCAUUUGAAUAAACUAUGCCAUGCAUGUGGCCAUAAGAUUGAUCAUUUGACAUGGAAGCCAUGAAUCUUCACACAUGAUAGCUCAUUUCUGAGAACACUUUUUUAAAAGAAUUGCCAUAUUACAAGUUAUUAUUUUUCCUGGUAACUUGGUCACAUAUAAUGACACAAUGCAAAGGUUUUCCAAUUUUUUUAUUUUUGUGAAUUUUUUAUGCUCGUUUCAAAAUGCGGUCAAAACGGCGGGAAUGACCGUUCCAAGCUAGUGGUUGAAUCUUGGAAUUUUUUUGGUGUUUCUCUGAUUAAAUAGAUACUUUUGUACCUAUAAAUGAUUUUUGGAAAAAAUAAAUAGCAAACUAUUAGGCAGCCGCAGUUCAAAUUUGACCCGCUUCCAACUGAAAUGGCGGAAAUUUGUCUUUUUCACCAGAGGUGGUUCAAAACUUUUUACACCCAACCAUUUGGUUAAUUGUGCAUUAAAUAUGGCCUAGUAUUUUAUAAAAAUGAUUUGGUCCAAUUUUGCAACAAUUAUUUGGUAGGUUCUUCACAAAAACCUCAUUUGGGGCACUCAAAAAAUGGAAAAUGUUUUUUUCGUCCAAAGAAAAUGAAAAUUUCCUUAGGCAACAUUGUUUGCCAUUCCAAUAUGCAACCUUGUGCACAAUAUGAGAUCAUUUGAACAAAGUAUGCCAUGAAUGUGGCCAUAAGAUUGAUCAUUUGACUUGGAAGCCAUGAAUCUUCACACAUGAUAGCUCAUUUCUGAGAACACUUUUUUAAAAGAAUUUUCGUAUUACAAGUUUAUUAUUUUUCCUGGUAACUUGGUCACAUAUAAUGACACAUUGUGAAUGUUUUGGAAAUUUUUGAUUAUUUUUGAAUUUUUUAUGCCCGUUUCAAAAUGCGGUCAAAACGGUGGGAAUGACCGUUCCUAGCUAGUGGUUAAAUCUUGGAAGUUUUUUUUGGUGUUUCUCUGAUUAAAUAGAUACUUUUGUACCUAGAAAUGAUUUUUGGAAAAUAAAUAAAUAGCAAACUAUGAGGCAGUCGCAGAUCAAAUUUGACCCGCUUCCAGCUGAAACGGCGGAAAUUUGUCUUUUUCACCAGCGGUGGAUGAAAACUUUUUACACCCAACCAUUUGGUCAAUUGUGCAUUAAAUAUGGCCUAGUAUUUUAUAAAAAUGAUUUGUUCCAAUUUUCCAACAAUUAUUUGGUAGGUUCUGCACAAAAAAUCCUCAUUUGGGGCACUCGGAAAAUGGAAAAUGUUUUUUUCAUCCAAAAAAAUGAAAGUUUCCUUAGGCAACAUUGUUGGCCAUUCCAAUAUGCACCAUUAUGCACAAUACGAGAUCAUUUGAACAAACUAUGCCAUGAAUGUGGCCAUAAGAUUGAUUAUUUGACUUGGAAGCCAUUAAUCUUCACACAUGAUAGCUCAUUUCUGAAAACACUUUUUUUAAAAGAAUUGAUGUAUUACAAGUUUAUUGUUUUUCCUGGUAACUUGGUCACAUAUAAUGACACAAUGCAAAUGUUUUCCAAUUUUUUGAUUUUUUUUGAAUUUUUUAUGCACGUUUCAAAAUGCGGUCAAAACGGCGGGAAUGACCGUUCCUAGCUAGUGGUUGAAUCUUGGAAUUUUUUUGGUGUUUCUCUAAUUAAAUAGAUACUUUUGUACCUAGAAAUGAUUUUUGGAAAAAAUAAAUAGCAAACUAUGAGGCAGCCGCAGUUCAAAUUUGACCCGCUUCCAACUAAAACGGCGGAAAUUUGUCUUUUUGACCAGAGGUGGAUUAAAACUUUUUACACCCAACCAUUUGGACAAUUGUGCAUUAAAUAUGGCCUACUAUUUUAUAAAAAUGAUUUGGUCCAAUUUUGCAACAAUUAUUUGGUAGGUUCUUCACAAAAAAAUCAUUUGGGGCACUCGAAAAAUGGAAAAUGUUUUUUUCGUCCAAAGAAAAUGAAAGUUUCCUUAGGCAACAUUGCUUGCCAUUCCAAUAUGCACCCUUGUGCACAAUAUAAGAUCAUUUGAACGAACUAUGCCAUGAAUGUGGCCAUAAGAUUGAUCAUUUGACUUGGAAGCCAUGAAUCUUCACACAUGAUAGCUCAUUUCUGAGAACACUUUUUUAAAAGAAUUGCCGUAUUACAAGUUUAUUAUUUUUCCUGGUAACUUGGUCACAUAUAAUGACACAAUGCGAAGGUUUUCCAAUUUUUUUAUUUUUUUGAAUUUUUUAUGCCCGUUUCAAAAUGCGGUCAAAACGGCGGGAAUGACCGUUCCAAGCUAGUGGUUGAAUCUUGGAAUUUUUUUGGUGUUGCUCUGAUUAAAUAGAUACUUUUGUACCUAGAAAUGAUUUUUGGAAAAAAUGAAUAGCAAACUAUUAGGCAGCCGCAGUUCAAAUUUGACCCGCUUCCAACUGAAAUGGCGGAAAUUUGUCUUUUUCACCAGAGGUGGAUCAAAACUUUUUACACCCAACCAUUUGGUCAAUUGUGCAUUAAAUAUGACCUAGUAUUUUAUAAAAAUGAUUUGGUCCAAUUUUGCAACAAUUAUUUGGUAGGUUCUUCACAAAAAACCUCAUUUGGGGCACUCAAAAAAUGGAAAAUGUUUUUUCGUCCAAAGAAAAUGAAAAUUUCCUUAGGCAACAUUGUUUGCCAUUCUAAUAUGCACCCUUGUGCACAAUAUGAGAUCAUUUGAACAAACUAUGCCAUGAAUGUGGCCAUAAGAUUGAUCAUUUGACUUGGAAGCCAUGAAUCUUCACACAUGAUAGCUCAUUUCUGAGAACACUUUUUUAAAAGAAUUUCCGUAUUACAAGUUUAUUAUUUUUCCUGGUAACUUGGUCACAUAUAAUGACACAUUUCGAAGGUUUUGGAAAUUUUUGAUUUUUUUUAAUUUUUUAUGCCCGUUUCAAAAUGCGGUCAAAACGGCGGGAAUGACCGUUCCUUGCUAGUGGUUGAAUCUUGGAAUUUUUUUGGUGUUUCUCUGAUUAAAUACAUACUUUUGUACCUAGAAAUGUUUUUUGGAAAAAAAUAAAUAGCAAACUAUGAGGCAGUCGCAGUUCAAAUUUGACCCGCUUCCAGCUGAAAGGGCGGAAAUUUGUCUUUUUCACCAGCGGUGGAUCAAAAGUUUUUACACCCAACCAUUUGGUCAAUUGUGCAUUAAAUAUGGCCUAGUAUUUUAUAAAAAUGAUUUGGUCCAAUUUUGCAACAAUUAUUUGGUAGGUUCUUCACAAAAAAACCUCAUUUGGGGCACUCGAAAAAUGGAAAAUGUUGUUUUCGUCCAAAGAAAAUGAAAGUUUCCUUAGGCAACAUUGUUUGCCAUUCCAAUAUGCACCAUUAUGCACAAUACGAGAUCAUUUGAACAAACUAUGCCAUGAAUGUGGCCAUAAGAUUGAUCAUUUGACUUGGAAGCCAUUAAUCUUCACACAUGAUAGCUCAUUUCUGAGAACACUUUUUUUAAAAGAAUUGACGUAUUACAAGUUUAUUGUUUUUCCUGGUAACUUGGUCACAUAUAAUGACACAAUGCAAAUGUUUUCCAAUUUUUUGAUUUUUUUUUUUGAAUUUUUUAUGCCCGUUUCAAAAUGCGGUCAAAACGGCGGGAAUGACCGUUCCUAGCUAGUGGUUGAAUCUUGGAAGUUUUUUGGUGUUUCUCUGAUCAAAUAGAUACUUUUGUACCUAGAAAUGAUUUUUGGAAAAAAUAAAUAGCAAACUAUGAGGCAGCCGCAGUUCAAAUUUGACCCGCUUCCAACUGAAAUGGCGGAAAUUUGUCUUUUUCACCAAAGGUGGAUUAAAACUUUUUACACCCAACCAUUUGGUCAAUUGUGCAUUAAAUAUGGCCUAGUAUUUUAUAAAAAUGAUUUGGUCCAAUUUUGCAACAAUUAUUUGGUAGGUUCUUCACAAAAAAAAUUCAUUUGGGGCACUCGAAAAAUGGAAAAUAUUUUUUUGUCCAAAGAAAAUGAAAGUUUCCUUAGGCAACAUUGUUUGCCAUUCCAAUAUGCACCCUUGUGCACAAUAUAAGAUCAUUUGAAUAAACUAUGCCAUGCAUGUGGCCAUAAGAUUGAUCAUUUGACUUGGAAGCCAUGAAUCUUCACACAUGAUAGCUCAUUUCUGAGAACACUUUUUUAAAAGAAUUGCCAAAUUACAAGUUAUUAUUUUUCCUGGUAACUUGGUCACAUAUAAUGACAUAAUGCGAAGGUUUUCCAAUUUUUUUAUUUUUGUGAAUUUUUUAUGCCCGUUUCAAAAUGCGGUCAAAACGGCGGGAAUGACCGUUCCAAGCUAGUGGUUGAAUCUUGGAAUUUUUUUGGUGUUUCUCUGAUUAAAUAGAUACUUUUGUACCUAGAAAUGAUUUUUGGAAAAAAUAAAUAGCAAACUAUUAGGCAGCCGCAGUACAAAUUUGACCCGCUUCCAACUGAAAUGGCGGAAAUUUGUCUUUUUCACCAGAGGUGGUUCAAAACUUUUUA